UAACACCUGGAAACAGGUGCUAAUACCGCAUAACAACGAAAACCACAUGGCUUCGUUUCAAAGAUGGCUUCGGCUAUCACUUCAGGAUGGGCCCGCGGUGCAUUAGCUAGUUGGUAAGGUAACGGCUUACCAAGGCGAUGAUGCAUAGCCGAGUUGAGAGACUGAUCGGCCACAAUGGAACUGAGACACGGUCCAUACUCCUAGGGAGGCAGCAGAA
rnacentral:rRNA from 1 species